rnacentral:rRNA from 1 species
GAUGAACGCUGGCGGCGUGCCUAAUACAUGCCAGUAGAACGCUGAAGGAGGAGCUUGCUCUUCUGGAUGAGUUGCGAGCGGGUGAGUAACGCGUAGGUAACCUGCCUGGUAGCGGGGGAUAACUAUUGGAAACGAUAGCUAAUACCCAUGACAACUGUUAUUGCAUGAUAACUGUUUAAAAGGGGCAACUGCUCCACUACCAGAUGGACCUGCGUUGUAUUAGCUAGUUGGUGAGGUAACGGCUCACCAAGGCGACGAUACAUAGCCGACCUGAGAGGGUGAUCGGCCACACUGGGACUGAGACACGGCCCAGACUCCUACGGGAGGCAGCAGUAGGGAAUCUUCGGCAAUGGACGGAAGUCUGACCGAGCAACGCCGCGUGAGUGAAGAAGGUUUUCGGAUCGUAAAGCUCUGUUGUAAGAGAAGAACGAGUGUGAGAGUGGAAAGUUCACACUGUGACGGUAUCUUACCAGAAAGGGACGGCUAACUACGUG